GCGGAGGAAAAGAAACCAACAGGGAUUGCCCCAGUAACGGCGAGUGAAGCGGCAACAGCUCAAAUUUGAAAUCUGGUCCCCCCGCGGGGCCCGAGUUGUAAUUUGAAGAGGAUGCUUCUGGCAAGGUGCCGUCCGAGUUCCCUGGAACGGGACGCCGCAGAGGGUGAGAGCCCCGUACGGUCGGACGCCGAGCCUCUGUGAAGCUCCUUCGACGAGUCGAGUAGUUUGGGAAUGCUGCUCAAAAUGGGAGGUAAACCCCUUCUAAAGCUAAAUACCGGCCAGAGACCGAUAGCGCACAAGUAGAGUGAUCGAAAGAUGAAAAGCACUUUGAAAAGAGAGUUAAAAAGCACGUGAAAUUGUUGAAAGGGAAGCGCUUGCGACCAGACUCGCGCCCGUCGGAUCAGCCGUCGCUCGUCGGCGGCGCACUCCGGCGGGCUCGGGCCAGCAUCAGUUCGCCUCGGGGGGAGAAAGGCGGCGGGAAUGUGGCUCCACGGAGUGUUAUAGCCCACCGCGUAAUACCCCCGGGCGGACUGAGGACCGCGCGUAGC
rnacentral:sRNA from 1 species